UUACGGGAAUAAAGUGCACAAUCGACAAUAGAGUUUUAGAUAAAAGUACCCGUUCAUUUCUUUUUUCUAAAUUCAAAUAAUCCUUUCUAUAUUUUAAUGUGCAUGAAAUUUAAAUAUAUCUAUUUUUUAUGUGUGUGCGUGGGUAUGUACAUUCGUGUUAAUUUUUGUGCAUAUCGAGUAUGUUUAUAAAAGUAACAGACUGAUAUUGGUUAUAUGAGCUGAUGACACCAACUCAAAUUAGCUGUUUUAGUUAGCUAGUUUUAUUUAACAUAUAUAAUGUUAAAGCUAAUAUGAUUGAAAAUGAAAUAUUUGAAUGAUGAAAAAGUUUCGAUACUAUAUAGACAACUUUUUAAUUUAAUAUGAGCCUGAGAUCUGUCUAUAUUUACUCUGUGGCUUAAAAUGAUGAACUACCAAGGGAUGUGAAGGACAUUCAUUGAGUGACUACCGAUCGAGAGUGCGGAUAAUGUGCGUUGCAGAUAGCACAUAAUUCACGACAAUAUUGCUGACAGAGAUAAAAUCACUGCUUCGUUAUAUCGUAUUCAUUCCAGACUGUGUCAGGAAUGAGCCUUUGAAGGGUUAAUAUUACAAGCUUGUUGCGAAAAUUAUAAUCAAACUGUAUGCCUGUUAAAUCAGUAAAGCUAUUCAGAAGAAAAUAAAUUUUUGACACUAUGCGAUAAUGCUGUCUUGACCGUAUGUAGGAAAUUGAAAGUUGUGUUAAAAAUUGACUAAUUUUAUAUCCCAAAAAUAAACUAUACAAAAAACGUUUUGUGAAUAAACUUACUUAUCUUUGAAAUGUAAUGGAACCUUAUUAUUUAAAAAGUUAAAAAUACCUUCAAAGUUAGAAUAAAUAUUAACAAAAUUUGUUGUUUAGAAAAUACCUCGAGAAACUCGAAGCAAAAAUCAUCAGAUACCCUCAUCUUUCUUUGAGUAUAAUACUACAAUAAUAUGAAAAUAGUAUAAUAAUAAUAAUAUGAAAUAAUAAUAAUAAUAGUAUUGAAUAAUGGAAAUUUGAAUCAGUUACAAGGAUAAAAUCUUACUAGAAACAUAUAAACUUAAAGUUCAGCGGAACUGGCGCAAAACGUUUCAAAAGUGUGAUUUAAAAUAUUAAGGAUAAUAAAAUUCUUAAGGGGAAUUUUUAUCUUGGUCAUAAAACGGUAGGAAAUACCAGCUUAAGAUAUUUUCUAGAUGAAAAACUUUGCGGUUUCAAUUUUCCGUGGCCAUUCUCUAUGCAGUCUGUAAUUCCCCGGCGUUUCAUUAUUACAGCAAGAUGCUCGUUACCCCCAUUUAGUUGAAAAAGAAAAACCCAAAGAAAGCAGUUGUUUCAAGUGGAAUGAAAUUCAUAAAUCACUGAUACGGAGAUUGUAGACGGCGCCGUUCGGUUUAUUUCAUGCUCUCUGCAUAUAUAAUGUUACUUGAAGUUUGGAGGAUUACGUCAUACAUGCUUAUAAAUGCUUAUGAACUCCUCAAAGCACAAAACAGUUUAACUCAUUUAAUAAUUAUAAUAAAUAAUGUACGCCUGACCAACUUGCGGCCUCGGCAGCGAAUUUCAAAGAGAAGCCAACUGUAGAGGUGAGGUUCACGGAUUCAACAUUACAGUCAAGUGAAACAAAAGCAACCGCAUUACUGAGAUACCUGUAAAGCUAGGAGGGUACAUGGAAGACAAGACAGUAAGAAGAUAAGUACAACAUAGAAACUACGAUAUUGGAUAUUUUGAAGACCCAAGAGUAGCAGACUAUCUUUUACUAAUUAGUCGUCAUUACUUCAAAUGUUUGCUAUCAUCAAAUUCAUUUUACUCUACUCCAAAUUUAUUAAAUGCAGUACUAAAACUCAAUUCGAUAUAAUGUUAUAGGUGGGUUCACAUAUGAAAAGGCAUGUUGAUCAAAUUAAAAUGAUUACUACUUGUAAUACUCAAUUACAAGGUACUAUAAGUCCAAGUGCCCGAAAUCGUAUGACUACUUCUUGCUCAAGAAACACCAACAGUUAAUGUCCCUAGACCUGGA